UGGGGAAUAUUGGACAAUGGGCGCAAGCCUGAUCCAGCCAUGCCGCGUGUGUGAAGAAGGCCUUUUGGUUGUAAAGCACUUUAAGCGAGGAGGAGGCUACUUGGAUUAAUACUCUAGGAUAGUGGACGUUACUCGCAGAAUAAGCACCGGCUAACUCUGUGCCAGCAGCCGCGGUAAUACAGAGGGUGCGAGCGUUAAUCGGAUUUACUGGGCAUAAAGCGUGCGUAGGCGGCUUUUUAAGUCGGAUGUGAAAUCCCUGAGCUUAACUUAGGAAUUGCAUUCGAUACUGGGAAGCUAGAGUAUGGGAGAGGAUGGUAGAAUUCCAGGUGUAGCGGUGAAAUGCGUAGAGAUCUGGAGGAAUACCGAUGGCGAAGGCAGCCAUCUGGCCUAAUACUGACGCUGAGGUACGAAAGCAUGGGGAGCAAACAGG
rnacentral:rRNA from 1 species